rnacentral:rRNA from 1 species
CCUACGGGAGGCAGCAGUGAGGAAUAUUGGUCAAUGGGCGCGAGCCUGAACCAGCCAAGUAGCGUGAAGGAUGACUGCCCUACGGGUUGUAAGCUUCUUUUAUAAAGGAAUAAAGUGAGGCACGUGUGUCUGUUUGUAUGUACUUUAUGAAUAAGGAUCGGCCAACUCAGUGCCAGCAGCAGGGGUAAUACGGAGGAUCCGAGCGUUAACCGGAUGUAUUGGGUUUAAAGGGAGCGUAGAUGGGUUGUUAGGUCAGUUGUGAAAGUUUGCGGCUCAACCGUAAAAUUGCAUUUGAUACUGGCAGUCUUGAGUACAGUUGAGGUAGGCGGAAUUCGUGGUGUAGCGGCGAAAUGCUUAGAUAUUACGAAGAACACCGAUUGCGAAGGCAGCUUACUAGACUGCCACUGACAUUGAUGCUCGAAAGUGUGGGGAGCAAACAGGAUUAGAUACCCUAGUAGUC